UUCAAAUACGAACGCGGUUAAGUAUUGCUAGGCGCGCGCGCUGCUAAACGACAGUAAACGGACUAUAUAUUGGAAUUUACGCUGUUGUUGUUGUAUUUUUAAUUAGUUUUGUUUUUUUGUUAACAGAAAACAAAGCGCUAGUCAAUAUUGAUAAGAAUGCAAAUUGAUAUGCAAUCAAGUGCAAUUGUGUAGUUGACGGAAGCAAAAGUAACAAAAAAUAAAUGCCAGUAAUUUGUGUACAAUACAAUACGCGCUGCUUGUUUUUGGAAAAUUUAUAUAUAACUGUGCUGGUAUUUGGUACAGCAGAUGCCCCUCAAUACAAGUAGC